AUUUGUCUGGUUAAUUCCGAUAACGAACGAGACCUUAACCUGCUAACUAGAUUCAUCAGUAUUACUCCUGCAAUCUUCUUAGAGGGACUAUGUAAAACAAAUACAUGGAAGUUUGAGGCAAUAACAGGUCAGUGAUGCCCUUAUAUGUCCUGGGCUGCACGCGUGCUACACUGAUGCAUACAACAAGUGCCUAACCAGACAUGAUAUGGCAAUCUCGAAUAUGCAUCGUGAUGGGGAUAGAUCUUUGCAAUUAUAGAUCUUGAACGAGGAAUUCCUAGUAAGUGCAAGUCAUCAUCUUGCAUUGAUUAUGUCCCUGCCCUUUGUACACACCGCCCGUCGCUCCUACCGAUACCGGGUGAUCCGGUGAACCUUUUGGACUCUUUACUGGGAAAGAUAAGUAAACCAUAUCACCUAGAGGAAGGAGAAGUCGUAACAAGAUUUCCGUAGGUGAACCUGCRGAAGGAUCA
rnacentral:rRNA from 1 species